GGAUGGGGCUAGCGUUGUUCGGAAUUACUGGGCGUAAAGGGCGCGUAGGCGGCCAUUUAAGUUAGACGUGAAAGCCCUGGGCUUAACCUAGGAAUUGCGUUUAAUACUGGAUGGCUAGAGAUUGGUAGAGGAAAGCGGAAUUCCUAGUGUAGAGGUGAAAUUCGUAGAUAUUAGGAAGAACACCAGAGGCGAAGGCGGCUUUCUGGGCCAAUACUGACGCUGAGGCGCGAAAGCGUGGGGAGCAAACAGGAUUAGAUACCCUGGGUAGUCCACGCUGAAAACGAUGAAUGCUAAACGUCGGGGAUUUAUUCUUCGGUGUUGCAGCUAACGCAUUAAGCAUUCCGCCUGGGGAGUACGGUGCAAGAUUA
rnacentral:rRNA from 1 species